rnacentral:rRNA from 1 species
AGUGAACGCUGGCGGUAGGCCUAACACAUGCAAGUCGAACGGCAGCACAGUAAGAGCUUGCUCUUACGGGUGGCGAGUGGCGGACGGGUGAGGAAUACAUCGGAAUCUACUUUUUCGUGGGGGAUAACGUAGGGAAACUUACGCUAAUACCGCAUACGACCUACGGGUGAAAGCAGGGGAUCUUCGGACCUUGCGCGAUUGAAUGAGCCGAUGUCGGAUUAGCUAGUUGGCGGGGUAAAGGCCCACCAAGGCGACGAUCCGUAGCUGGUCUGAGAGGAUGGUCAGCCACACUGGAACGGAGACACGGUCCAGACUCCUACGGGAGGCAGCAGUGGGGAAUAUUGGACAGUGGGCGCAAGCCUGAUCCAGCCAUACCGCGUGGGUGAAGAAGGCCUUCGGGUUGUAAAGCCCUUUUGUUGGGAAAGAAAAGCAGCAGGUUAAUACCCCGCUGUUCUGACGGUAACCAAAGAAUAAGCACCGGCUAACUUCGUG